rnacentral:rRNA from 1 species
GCGCCCCGCAAGGGGAGCGGCAGACGGGUGAGUAACGCGUGGGAAUCUACCCAUCUCUACGGAAUAACGCAUGGAAACGUGUGCUAAUACCGUAUACGUCCUUCGGGAGAAAGAUUUAUCGGAGAUGGAUGAGCCCGCGUUGGAUUAGCUAGUUGGUGGGGUAAAGGCCUACCAAGGCGACGAUCCAUAGCUGGUCUGAGAGGAUGAUCAGCCACACUGGGACUGAGACACGGCCCAGACUCCUACGGGAGGCAGCAGUGAGGAAUAUUGGACAAUGGGCGCAAGCCUGAUCCAGCCAUGCCGCGUGAGUGAUGAAGGCCCUAGGGUUGUAAAGCUCUUUCACCGGUGAAGAUAAUGACGGUAACCGGAGAAGAAGCCCCGGCUAACUUCGUGCCAGCAGCCGCGGUAAUACGAAGGGGGCUAGCGUUGUUCGGAUUUACUGGGCGUAAAGCGCACGUAGGCGGACUAUUAAGUCAGGGGUGAAAUCCCGGGGCUCAACCCCGGAACUGCCUUUGAUACUGGUAGUCUUGAGUUCGAGAGAGGUGAGUGGAAUUCCGAGUGUAGAGGUGAAAUUCGUAGAUAUUC